UACGAAGGGUGCAAACGUUGCUCGGAAUUAUUGGGCGUAAAGCGCACGUAGGCGGCUUAGCAAGUCGGAAGUGAAAUCCCACGGCUCAACCAUGGAAGUGCUUUCGAAACUGCUGAGCUUGAGUACUUAAGAGGAUCGCGGAAUUCCCGGUGUAGAGGUGAAAUUCGUAGAUAUCGGGAGGAACACCAGUGGCGAAGGCGGCUUCCUGGACACCAACUGACGCUGAGACGCGAAAGCGUGGGGAGCAAACAGG
rnacentral:rRNA from 1 species